AUUUUUGUCACUAUUAUGUAUCUUCUUGAGUUUAUUUGAUUGUCUCGUUUAUUUCCUUCAUUGGUGCAUUCUUUUUGCCAAUUUUCCCCUGUUUUUCUGGGUAUGAUUUUAAAAUGCACGCACACGUGUACUUAUUGUACAACCUGCACUGAACAAAGUUUGAAAAAUAUAUAUGAACAAAACAUAGAAUCAAGAUUAGUCUUCAAUUUUAUGCAAAAAGGUACUAUAAUAAUUUUUUGAAUGCAUUAGAAAAUAACUUUUCUUGUAAAAAUACAACUGUGUACAUGCUUUUUGAAGAUCAUUUAUGUAUAGGUCGAAAACAUUGCAAGUUUUAUUUUUAAAUUGCAUCAGGAUGAUUAUUUAUAUUUUAAGUAAUUUUGAAAAAUAUCAAAGACCACAUUCAUAUUUUAUAGACAAACAAAAUAUAACUUUGAGAAUUUAACUUUUAUGACCUCUCACUGAAAUUUCUUAGAGUUUUUCUUAUGUAUAAUUCUGUUAUUGAAAAUAUAUAUAUAUAUAUAUAUAUAUAUAUAUUAAAUUAGGGUUUUCUAAACAUCAAAUUAGCGUUUUUUACUACGAGAUGAUUAUUGAAAGUUUUAAACUACUUGCAUUAAUAGGAGGAAGCACAGUGGUUAUUUUGAACAGAGGAUUGAAAACAACCUAAAAUUAUUUUAGGUUGUAAGGGCAACAUCAUCUAUCUGAGCGUCAUAACUUAAUAUCAUGAAUUUCAAUUUUUUUUUAUAUAUUUUUCUACAAUCAUUACAUUUAAUGUUAAUGCAUCCAAUUUACCUGAUAUUUUUGAAGACCAAUCUCCUAGCCAAUAAUCAUGUAAUGAAUAAAUAAUCCAAUCAAUAC
rnacentral:lncRNA from 1 species